rnacentral:rRNA from 1 species
GUGUACAAGGCCCGGGAACGUAUUCACCGCGGCAUGCUGAUCCGCGAUUACUAGCAAUUCCGGCUUCACGCAGGCGGGUUGCAGCCUGCGAUCCGAACUGAGACAAUUUUUAUGAGGUUCGCUCCACCUCGCGGUUUCGCUUCUCUUUGUUAAUUGCCAUUGUAGUACGUGUGUGGCCCAGGUCAUAAAGGGCAUGAUGAUUUGACGUCAUCCCCACCUUCCUCCGUUUUGUCAACGGCAGUCUCUCUAGAGUCCUCUUGCGUAGUAACUAAAGAUAAGGGUUGCGCUCGUUGCGGGACUUAACCCAACAUCUCACGACACGAGCUGACGACAACCAUGCACCACCUGUCUCCGUGUCCCGAAGGACUUCACCUAUCUCUAGGCUAUGCACGGGAUGUCAAAACCUGGUAAGGUUUUUCGCGUUGCUUCGAAUUAAACCACAUACUCCACUGCUUGUGCGGGCCCCCGUCAAUUCCUUUGAGUUUCAACCUUGCGGUCGUACUCCCCAGGUGGAUUACUUAUUGUGUUAACUGCGGCACGGAAGGGGUCAAUCCUCCCACACCUAGUAAUCAUCGUUUACGGCAUGGACUAC